GAUGAACGCUGGCGGCGUGCUUAACACAUGCAAGUCGAACGGAAAGGCCCAAGCUUGCUUGGGUACUCGAGUGGCGAACGGGUGAGUAACACGCGGGUGAUCUGCCCUGCACUUCGGGAUAAGCCUGGGAAACUGGGUCUAAUACCGGAUAGGACCACAUUUUGGAUGGUGUGGUGGAAAGUUUUUCGGUGUGGGAUGAGCUCGCGGCCUAUCAGCUUGUUGGUGGGGUAAUGGCCUACCAAGGCGUUGACGGGUAGCCGGCCUGAGAGGGUGUACGGCCACAUUGGGACUGAGAUACGGCCCAGACUCCUACGGGCGGCAGCAGUGGGGAAUAUUACACAAUGGGCGCAAGCCUGAUGCAGCGACGCCGCGUGGGGGAUGACGGCCUUCGGGUUGUAAACUACUUUCGCUAGGGACGAAGCGCAAGUGACGGUACCUGGAGAAGAAGCACCGGCUAACUACGUG
rnacentral:rRNA from 1 species